AAAUAACACGGUAAACCACAGAACUGACACCCAAGAUUUGAGUCAAUUAUACACAAAUUUAUUGUUUCUUUGUCGUGAUUCCCGUAUUCCGAUAUGAAAAUUAUUCAUAUGUCUAUAGUGUCUGCGCGUAAUAACACCUGUUCUCGAUUGUUUAAUCAAUUAAUUUCGAUGGUAGUUGUAGCUGUUUUUCCAUGUUUGGGAUGAAAUUUGACAAAGCUUGGAUGCAAUUUUUCCGAAUCUUAAUGUUAACAACAACUUUUAUAUCAGACAAAUUGAACUUGCCUUGAAAAAGUUCGAAUAUACGGACGAAACGUCGGCAUUUA